UACAGAGGUCUCAAGCGUUGUUCGGAAUCAUUGGGCGUAAAGAGCGUGUAGGCGGCCCGGUAAGUCCGCUGUGAAAGUCGGGGGCUCAACCCUCGAAUGCCGGUGGAUACUGUCGGGCUAGAGUGCGGAAGAGGCGAGUGGAAUUCCUGGUGUAGCGGUGAAAUGCGCAGAUAUCAGGAGGAACACCGGUGGCGAAGGCGGCUCUCUGGGACGGUACUGACGCUGAGACGCGAAAGCGUGGGGAGCGAACAGG
rnacentral:rRNA from 1 species